GCCUGAUCCCGCAUUCUAUGGAAAGUCAAUGAGUGACCAAAGUUAUUGUAAUAAGGACUCAUCAUUAAUGACAAAAAGGUUGUGGCCGAAAAGGAAGUUAUAAAGCAUACGAAAAGAUUCUCCUAAGCACAUCUCCAACAGCAUGAGCCAGGGGUUGUUACAGCUGGUACACUCUUCACAUUUCCCUCUGUUUUUCCCUGUGGGGUCUGCGAUGAGCUACUUCUGCAUGGACUUUGGAGAAUAACUCGUCUUUGUAUUGCAGACUGAGAGAAUUAUUUGCAGAGAAAAAAACAAAGUUUCUACAACACUGGUUUCUAUUCUGACAAGCACAAAACCCUGCACCAAGUUGAACCUGUCCUUUGUGAUGAGGCUGUUGAACAGAAGAGCAGCGUAGCAGUCUGUCUAUUCUUGCUCCACAUUCAGCUAAAUGCCAACUCUGAUCCCUUUGAGAUGGUGAACAGACUGAACUCAGGGAGAGUGUCAUCUCUCAGUAGCCAAGCUUCUUCAGAGAACCAUGUGGUGAAACUUCUUGAUAAAGGUCAUGUUCUUAGUCCAUGGCAUCAAUUUUUCUAUAAGCUAAAAGAUUAUCUAUCUAUAUAAAUAUAGGUAGAAAUAGAUAAGAUAGUGCUUUAAUCUGCAAAUUAUAAAACCAUGUAAAAAGAAAUUAAACAACUCAGAUCUUAGUUUUGCAUUAUCUUACGUUGUUUUACAUUGCAAUCUUUGCGAUUCAAUUGUAUCCUUUUUGAUUUUAUGUAAACCAGGUGCGUAUCAAAAGACUCCUUUUUAUUAGUGUGACUGUUUUACUGUAAAAUAACUUUUUAAUCUCUGCUUUGCCUAUUGGCUAGAAUAAUUAUAUUAUCAGUUUUAGAUGUUUUAUGAACUUAUGUGUUAUUUCCAAAAGACACCGGUAUUUGGUUUU
rnacentral:lncRNA from 1 species